rnacentral:lncRNA from 1 species
GGGGUGGUGAUCCAGACCAUUUCAAAAAGGGGGAUGGGGAUGACCCCCAUGGACUUUCCCUUUAUUUCAUUUGAUUUGUUGUAUUGUCCCAUAUAAUAAUAUAUAGGCUUAAGGGGUGGGGAUCUCAACCGUUUACAUGUUUUCAAACAUGAGGGGGUGGGGUGACCCCAAGGGACUUUAUCUUUAUUUCAUUUGAUUUGUCUUGUUGUCCCUUACACUAAUAUAUAUGGUUCAGGGGUGGGGAUCUUGACCAUUUACAUGUUUUCACACUGUAGGGGUGAACAACCCCCCCCCCCCCCCCCAAGGGACUUCCCCUAUAUUACAUUGGGUUUGUUUUAUUUUCCCAUACAAGAAUAUAUAUAGUUUAGGGGUGGGGAUCUCGACCGUUUACAAAAUAUAAGAACAUUCGCAAAUGGCAGGGGAGGGGGUAAACCCAGAGACUAGCCCGGUAUAUUUCAUUCAAAUCAAUUUGACAUUAUAAAAAGGAAUAUAUAUAUGUGUUUACAGGUGGGGAUCUCGACAAUUUUCAAGAUAUAAGAUCAUUCUCAAAUGACAAGGGGUGGGGCGACCCAUAGAGACUAGCUUGGUAUAUUUCAUUAUACUUUACAGAGAGAAAAAAUUGAGUUAAGGGGGCAGGGAUCUCGACUGUUCAACAUUGUCAAAU